GCUGGGCAUGUUGGUACAUGCCUGUAAUCCCAGCUACUCGGGAGGCUGAGGCAGGAGAAUUGCUUGAACCCAGGAGGCAGAGGUUGCAGUGAACCAAAAUCGCACCACUGCACUCUACCCUGGGUGACAGAGCAAGACUCCGUCUCAA
rfam:Gorilla gorilla gorilla genomic chromosome, chr3, whole genome shotgun sequence